GCUGUGAGCUCGAUGAGUAGGGCGGGACACGUGGUAUCCUGUCUGAAUAUGGGGGGACCAUCCUCCAAGGCUAAAUACUCCUGACUGACCGAUAGUGAACCAGUACCGUGAGGGAAAGGCGAAAAGAACCCCGGCGAGGGGAGUGAAAAAGAACCUGAAACCGUGUACGUACAAGCAGUGGGAGCACAGAGCAAUCUGUGUGACUGCGUACCUUUUGUAUAAUGGGUCAGCGACUUAUAUUCUGUAGCAAGGUUAACCGAAUAGGGGAGCCGAAGGGAAACCGAGUCUUAACUGGGCGUUAAGUUGCAGGGUAUAGACCCGAAACCCGGUGAUCUAGCCAUGGGCAGGUUGAAGGUUGGGUAACACUAACUGGAGGACCGAACCGACUAAUGUUGAAAAAUUAGCGGAUGACUUGUGGCUGGGGGUGAAAGGCCAAUCAAACCGGGAGAUAGCUGGUUCUCCCCGAAAGCUAUUUAGGUAGCGCCUCGUGAAUUCAUCUCCGGGGGUAGAGCACUGUUUCGGCAAGGGGGUCAUCCCGACUUACCAACCCGAUGCAAACUGCGAAUACCGGAGAAUGUUAUCACGGGAGACACACGGCGGGUGCUAACGUCCGUCGUGAAGAGGGAAACAACCCAGACCGCCAGCUAAGGUCCCAAAGUCAUGGUUAAGUGGGAAACGAUGUGGGAAGGCCCAGACAGCCAGGAUGUUGGCUUAGAAGCAGCCAUCAUUUAAAGAAAGCGUAAUAGCUCACUGGUCGAGUCGGCCUGCGCGGAAGAUGUAACGGGGCUAAACCAUGCACCGAAGCUGCGGCAGCGACACUGUGUGUUGUUGGGUAGGGGAGCGUUCUGUAAGCCUGUGAAGGUGUGCUGUGAGGCAUGCUGGAGGUAUCAGAAGUGCGAAUGCUGACAUAAGUAACGAUAAAGCGGGUGAAAAGCCCGCUCGCCGGAAGACCAAGGGUUCCUGUCCAACGUUAAUCGGGGCAGGGUGAGUCGACCCCUAAGGCGAGGCCGAAAGGCGUAGUCGAUGGGAAACAGGUUAAUAUUCCUGUACUUGGUGUUACUGCGAAGGGGGGACGGAGAAGGCUAUGUUGGCCGGGCGACGGUUGUCCCGGUUUAAGCGUGUAGGCUGGUUUUCCAGGCAAAUCCGGAAAAUCAAGGCUGAGGCGUGAUGACGAGGCACUACGGUGCUGAAGCAACAAAUGCCCUGCUUCCAGGAAAAGCCUCUAAGCAUCAGGUAACAUCAAAUCGUACCCCAAACCGACACAGGUGGUCAGGUAGAGAAUACCAAGGCGCUUGAGAGAACUCGGGUGAAGGAACUAGGCAAAAUGGUGCCGUAACUUCGGGAGAAGGCACGCUGAUAUGUAGGUGAAGUCCCUCGCGGAUGGAGCUGAAAUCAGUCGAAGAUACCAGCUGGCUGCAACUGUUUAUUAAAAACACAGCACUGUGCAAACACGAAAGUGGACGUAUACGGUGUGACGCCUGCCCGGUGCCGGAAGGUUAAUUGAUGGGGUCAGCGCAAGCGAAGCUCUUGAUCGAAGCCCCGGUAAACGGCGGCCGUAACUAUAACGGUCCUAAGGUAGCGAAAUUCCUUGUCGGGUAAGUUCCGACCUGCACGAAUGGCGUAAUGAUGGCCAGGCUGUCUCCACCCGAGACUCAGUGAAAUUGAACUCGCUGUGAAGAUGCAGUGUACCCGCGGCAAGACGGAAAGACCCCGUGAACCUUUACUAUAGCUUGACACUGAACAUUGAGCCUUGAUGUGUAGGAUAGGUGGGAGGCUUUGAAGUGUGGACGCCAGUCUGCAUGGAGCCGACCUUGAAAUACCACCCUUUAAUGUUUGAUGUUCUAACGUGGACCCGUGAUCCGGGUUGCGGACAGUGUCUGGUGGGUAGUUUGACUGGGGCGGUCUCCUCCUAAAGAGUAACGGAGGAGCACGAAGGUUGGCUAAUCCUGGUCGGACAUCAGGAGGUUAGUGCAAUGGCAUAAGCCAGCUUGACUGCGAGCGUGACGGCGCGAGCAGGUGCGAAAGCAGGUCAUAGUGAUCCGGUGGUUCUGAAUGGAAGGGCCAUCGCUCAACGGAUAAAAGGUACUCCGGGGAUAACAGGCUGAUACCGCCCAAGAGUUCAUAUCGACGGCGGUGUUUGGCACCUCGAUGUCGGCUCAUCACAUCCUGGGGCUGAAGUAGGUCCCAAGGGUAUGGCUGUUCGCCAUUUAAAGUGGUACGCGAGCUGGGUUUAGAACGUCGUGAGACAGUUCGGUCCCUAUCUGCCGUGGGCGCUGGAGAACUGAGGGGGGCUGCUCCUAGUACGAGAGGACCGGAGUGGACGCAUCACUGGUGUUCGGGUUGUCAUGCCAAUGGCACUGCCCGGUAGCUAAAUGCGGAAGAGAUAAGUGCUGAAAGCAUCUAAGCACGAAACUUGCCCCGAGAUGAGUUCUCCCUGACCCUUUAAGGGUCCUGAAGGAACGUUGAAGACGACGACGUUGAUAGGCCGGGUGUGUAAGCGCAGCGAUGCGUUGAGCUAACCGGUACUAAUGAACCGUGAGGCUUAACCUUACAACGCCGAAGGUGUUU
rnacentral:rRNA from 1 species